GACGAACGCUGGCGGCGUGCUUAACACAUGCAAGUCGAACGAAGUGGCGCACGGGUGAGUAACGCGUAAUCCACCUGCCCUUCAGAGGGGGACAACAGUUGGAAACGACUGCUAAUACCGCAUACUGAAGGUGGGGAUUGCGUCUGAUUAGCUAGUUGGAGGGGUAACGGCCCACCAAGGCGAUGAUCAGUAGCCGGGCUGGUGGGGUGGACGGCCACAUUGGGACUGGGGCAAGGCCCAGAAUCCUAAGGGAGGCAGCAGUGGGGAAACUUCCGCCAUGGGCGAAAGGCUGAACGGGCAAAGCCGGGUGAGUGAUGACGGCCUUCGGGUUGGAAAGCUCUGUUAAUCGGGAAGCGGUACCGAAAUAGAAAGCCACGGCUAACUACGUGCCAGCAGCCGCGGUAAUUC
rnacentral:rRNA from 1 species